rnacentral:lncRNA from 1 species
GUGUCGUGGGCAGUAAGUUUAAACAAAUUCAAGGCCAUUACUACCACUGCAGACCAAAAUAACUUAGGUCUGAGAGACCCCCUUAGAAAGAUACAAUGCCUUCCUCAUCUAAAGGGAGCUAAUACCAGAGUGAUCUCGGCGCUCGCGCAGUUUUGAGAGAGGGUCCCGAAAACCGCCGGAGGCCAGGUGUCGCGGACGGGCCCCGGGCUAAACUCUCGUCUGGCGAAGUGAAGAGCGCAAAGUCUCCAGGCCCAGCGCGCCUUCGCGGGGCAGGCCGGACACCCUAGCCCCGGGCCGGGCUCGCUCUUCUCUGAAGCCCUGGAGCGGGCAAGGGGCACCAUUCUGGCCACAGGAACUCUAGUUUCAGCAGCCGCAGCCCGCCAGCGCUGGCUCGGACCGGGGCCUCCUCUGGGAGAGUAGGAGAGCGAAAAAAUCAACCACCACCUUGGAUUUCAGAUCGAGGAAAGGAAGCCAAAGCAAAGGUGUGGUUACACAGGACAUCCAUAGACAAAUCGUUGCCUCUCUAAGUGGGCCUGAGCUUUGCGGCUCCAGAAGCGCGAGGCGCGGUUGGUGCGGACGCGGGGGCGUGGGAGUCAUCGCUCUCCCCGCAGCCCUGGCCGAGCUCUCUGCUGUCCUCCCGAGUUUGGGCCAGAGACCACGGCUCACUCCCUAACGCCCUCGCAAGGACGGCUGCCCGUCGGGCCAAGGGCGCCCCGGGCUGGAGGCCGGAGCAAGACGGCCCCGCGGGACUCGGGAGCCUUGGUAAGGCGGAGGCUCAGACCCCGUUCACGAAAACGCCUGGCUCCUCCAGGAUUUGUCAGGUCUUAAGCAGCUCCGAGAAGGCUCCGCUGGCUCUUGGGGAACCCCGCUGUGCGGCUCACCCCCGUUUGUCUCUCUCAAGCUCUCGCCCUCCUCCCCUGGUCCUCCCUUCUCCAGAUCCCCUGCCCUGCCCGAGGUCCGGGCCGCGCGGGCUGAGCCCAAUACGCCCGGAGAAGAGCGCCGGAGCCCCCUGCUGGCCGGACGCGGCAGGCGCGGCGGCCCGCUCGGUCCCCUCCGCCCCGCGGGCUCUGCCCAGCCCGGACCCGCCUCCACCCUCCAGUGCCCUGGCGCUGGGGGCGUGCUAAAAGCAACAGAAAACAAAACAAAAACAAACAAAGCGCCAAACCCCACUCUCACCUCUUCUACUGGUCAAAGAAUCAUGCAUAUUUGGAGACACAAGGGAAGAAGCCCAUGGAGAAGGAGAGAUGAAGCUGUAAAAGAAAGAUGCUAUGAAUGUGCUCUCGACAGGUGAGAAGAUGCCUCGACAGCACUUGUCCCAACUACCUGCUUCUGGCUUUGUUUUGCCUAAAGCUGUGAAAAAUAUUAUUCAAACACAAGAUGGCAAACUGAAGAAUGAAAAAUCAACAUGUAUCAAAUGAUGAAGGGGAAAGAUGGAAGAAGCCUGGGUUCUUGAUGGCAUCAUUGAACCCUCCAUGCAAGGCCAGCAACCAAGCUGUCAUUAACUAAAGCUAGAUGCAUUAUUAUGUUCAAGGAAUGAACCCUUAUCUGAUUAAAUUACUGCCAUCUAGGUUUUCUGUUACCUGCAGAUGAGCCAUCCUGAUGCUCAAUAUCAUAGAAUUAUUCUGAAAGUUAAAUGAAAUAAUGCAUGCAUAAUUGCUUAAAUAACUACAGAUAUACUGUUUAAAGAGGUAACACAGGGCAAUGGAAAAGGCAUUGGACUUGAACUCUGACUAAUUUAGCCUGGAAUCCUAGAAAGUCACCUUAUUAGACCUUCUUCAUAGGAAAAUGUAAACAAUCUCUGUGUGUCAGUUGUGUCAUCUCUAAAAUGGAAAUAAUUAGCAUCUUGGAGGAUUGUUGUAAAGGGUAAGGGAGAUAAGAUAUGGGAAAGCUCAUGGCAUAGGGCUUGAUACAUGUUAUUCAAUAAACAUAAGUUAGGGAGAAAAAUUAGCAAGUAGCAGUGUGGUCUGCCCCAAGUGAACACACUUCCUUUAUCUGAGUCAGAUUACACUGCCCCUUGAACCUUUACAACACUAAACAAAAUUUAGAGCACUAGGAGAUACUUCAGAGUGUCCUAUUAAUAAAAGUAGUGGAAGGAUAGUUUUUUUUUUUCUAAUUCUGUGAAGAACAUUAAUGGUAGUUUAAUGGGACUGGCAUUGAAUCUAUAGAUUACUUUGAAAAGUAUGGCCAUUUUCACAAUAUUGAUUCUUCCUAUCCAUGAGCAUGGAAUGUUUUUCCUUUUGUUUGUGUCCUCUCUGAUUUCUUUGAGGAUCAGUUUGUAGUUCUCUUUGAAGAGGUUCCUCACUUUCCUUCUCAGCUGUAUUCCUAGGUAUCUUUUUUUUUUGUAGCAAUUGUGAAUGGGAGUUCAUUCAUGAUUCAUCUCUCUGCUUGCCUAUUGAUGGUGUAUAGGAAUGCUAGAGAUUUUGCACAUUGAUUUUGUAUCCUGAGGCUUUGCUGAAGUUGCUUCUCAGCUUAAGAAGCUUUUGGGCUGAGAAAAUGGGGUUUUUUUAGGUAUAGGAUCACGCCAUCUGUAAACAAAGAUAAUUUGACUUCCUCUCUUUCUAUUUACCCUUUAUUUCUUUAUCUUGUCUGAUUGCCCUGGCCAGAACUUCCAAUACUAUAUUGAAUAAGAGUGGUAAAAGAGGGCAUUCUUGUCUUCUACCACUUUAAAAGCCAUAUGGAACCAAAAAUGAGCCCAAAUAGCCAAGACAAUCCUAAACAAAAAGAACAAACCUGGAGGCACCAUACUACCCAACUUCGAACUAUGCUACAAGGUUAUAGUAACCAAAACAGCAUGAUACUGGUACAAAAACAGGCACAUAGACCAAAGGAAUGAAAAGAGAACUCAGAAAUAAGACUGCACACCUACAACCAUCUGAUCUUCAACAAACCUGACAAAAACAAGCAAUGGGAAAAGAACUCUUUAUUUAAUAAAUGAUACUGGGAGAACUGGUUAGCCAUACACAGAAAAUUGAAAUUGGACCCCUUCCUUACACCUUAUACAGAAAUUAACUCAAGAUGAAUUGAAGACUUAAAUGUUGAUAUGGUUUGGCUCUGGAUCCCCACCCAAAUCUCACCUUGAAUUGUAAUCUCCAUAAUCCCCACAUGUCAAGGGCAGGACAGGGUGGAGGUAAUUGGAUCAGGGUGGUGGUUUCCCCCAUGCUGUUCUCAUGAUAAUGAGUGAGUUCUCAUGAGAUCUGAUGGUUUUAUAAGGGGCUCUUUUCCCUUUGCUUAACACUUCUCCUUCCUUCCACCUUGUGAGGAAACUGCUUUGCUUCCCCUUUACCUUCUGCCAUGAUUGUAAGUUUCCUGAGGCUUUCCCAGCCAUGCUGAACUGUGAGUUAAUUAAACCUCUUUCAUUUCUAUUAAUAAAUACCCAGUCUCAGCAAUUCUAUAGUAAUAUGGAAACAGACUAAUACAAAUUUAAAACCCAAAACUAUAAAAACCCUAGAAGAAAAUCUAGGCAAUACCUUUCAGGCAAAGAUUUUGUUACGAAAAUGCAAAAAGCAAUUGCAACAAAAGCAAAAAUUGACAAAUGGGAUCUAAUUAAAUAAACGAAUUUUGCAGAGCAAAAGAAACUAUCAUCAGAGUGAACAAAGUACAGAAUUGGAGAAAAUUUUUACAAUCUAUCCAUCUGACAAAGGUAUAAUAUCCAGAGUCUACAAGGAACUUAAUCAAACUACAGGAAAAACACAAACAACCCCAUUAAAAAGUGGGCAAAGGAUAUGAACAGACACUUCUCAAAAGAAGACAUACAUGGAGGAGCAAACACGAAAAAAAGCUCAACAUCACUGAUCAUUAGAAAAAUGCAAAUCAGAACCACAAUGAGAUACUAUCUCACGCCAGUGAGAAUGGCGAUUAUUAAAAAGUCCAAAAAUAAUAGAUGCUGGCAAUGUUGUGGAGAAAAAGAAAUGCUUUUACACUGUUAGUGGGAGUGUAAAUUAGUUCAGCCAUUGUGGAAGACAGUGUGGCAAUUCCUCAAAGACUUAGAGGCAGAAAUACCAUUUGACCCAGCAAUCCCAUUACUGGGUAUACACCCAAAGGAAUAUAAAUCAUCCUAUUAUAAAGAUGCAUACACAGGCAUGCUCAUUGCAGCACUCUUUACAGCAGCAAAGACAGGGAAUCAACCUAAAAGCCCAUCAAUGAUAGACUGGAAAAAGAAAAUGUGGUACACAUACACCACAGAAUACUAUGCAGCCAUAAAAAGGAACAAGAUUUUGUUCUAUGCAGGGACAUGGAUGUAACUGGAAGCUGUUAUCCUCAGCAAACUAAUGCAAGAAAAGAAAACCAAACACUCCAUGUUCUCACUUAUAAGUGGGAGCUGAAUGAUGAGAACACAUGGAUAAAUCAGGGGGAACGACACACACUGGGGGCCAUUGGUGGUGGGAUUAGGGGGAGGGAGGGCAUCAGGAAAAAUAGGUCAUGGAUGCUGGGGUUGAUACCUACGUGAUAGGAUGAUCUGUGCAGCAAACCACCAUGGCUCACGUUUUACCUGUGUAACAAA